AUGGGAGGUCUUUGAGCAAUUCACCACCCAGGAACCCAAAACGAACUAGAUGAACUCUGCUUAAAACAAUAAGCCCUAGGUUUCUGUAUUGUAUUACCUCACCAGGCAAAAGUGACGAGAAGAAAUGGGAAUAUAAGAAGGAAAUAGGUCUAAUUAGCCAGGAAAAUGGGCUGGAUUCCUUCUCAAGGUCACUCUAACCUCUAAGGAAUCUAUGUCUUCUCUUCAGUAAGAACAGAGCCUCCUUCUCUCUUACCUCCAUCCUGAUCAGGCAACAUGAGAAGGUUGAGAUCCAAAAAGAUCAAUCAAUUUGCCCAAAAUUUUGACAGGUGUUUUUCAGUGAGCACCACCAUGAACUAAACCCUGGGAAUAGAAAGAAAUUUAACACUUUGGAGGUGGAAAUCAAUCUGUAAAGUUGUCCAUCCAUUGGGGAAAAUAUGUGACAAAUAUGAUUAAUGACAAAAGUAUGAAAUCCAUAUAGCAAGGCAAGUUGAGAAAUAGCUGAUGUAAAGUUUUAGGAGAAGGAAAUGCUCACAUGUAGUUUUAAGUUAAAAAAAUGAAAGAGGAAAUACUAAAUUAAGGUUAUUUUGUUCUUCUCUGUUUAACAGAAGGUUGAAACUAUUUGUGAAUUGUUACAGAAGCUUGAUUUGUUCUCAAAAAUGUAUGAUAUAUAAAAUCAACUCAUUUUGCUUUAAAAUGUCUCCCAUCAAUACCAACUUUUGGAUCAACAACUAAAAGAAAUAUAUCCAUAUUAUAUGUAAUCUUUAGCUUUAUGGCAAUUAGGAUGAAACAGAGUCAACUCAAUGAAAAUGAGUUUUUUAAUUGUUUCAUUUUUUCAUGAUUUCAUUUUUUCAUUAUUAAGAACUGAGGCAUGGUUGGUUUGUAUCUGUGCCCAAGAUAUAAGGUGUAUCUACAACUAUUAGAUCACAUCUAAAUACUACUUUCAAAUGGGUUUAUAGUUGCAUUCUUUGUAGCAUUUUAGUGCAUUGUGUCCUACUCAAGCAAAGGAUUCAAAUAUUUAUGGGAUGGAAUCCUGAACAUUCUAUCUUCUUAUUUAAGGCAGGAAGUUGUCAGGUUGAUACUUUUGAUUAUUACAACGGACACAGGUAUUUUACUGUUGUUGUUUGUAGGAUAACACAAGCUCAUACAAAAUAUAUGAGAAUAUUAAAAAUAUACAUCAAAAUAAGAACCUUAGUGUUAACCAGUAGUAAAAUAAAUCACUUUGGAAAAUAUUUCCAAUCAUCAUACUCAAAUUUUGUCCUGACAUCUCCCAUCUUCUAAAAUUGGAAAAAAACUAAAAGCACUGAAAAUCCAACUUUGACUUUAACUUGAGACCAUGAGAGCAUAUAGGGUUUCAGAACAUGGCUUGUUUUCUCUGCUACUCAUACCCCCAACACUUUUCCAUGAGUCAAACUAGUGUUCUAAGGAAGCAGAAUCCACCAGCACUAAAAUGUCAAUGGUAAUAACAUAACAAAAACACCAGAGAAAAGAGCUUUCAUAAGUGUUGUGCUGUGCUGAGGAUGUACAUGGCACUGAAAGUGAUUUGGGGACUGAAGACAGAAACCCGUGCUGAGGGCAUAGUGCUAGCCUCCACAGAGAUGUCCUCUUGGCACAAAGUCAGGAUAGAUCCCAGAGAAGCUGACUGCAGCAACUGGAGCAAAUCCCGAAACCACACUACCAUGCAACAGAACACACAGAUACUUGUUCUCUGUACAUGUAUAUUGGGGUUUGUAUCGGAUUUCAAAAUAGUUCACACUCAGCAUCUUCUGUUUCCAGGAUCUUAUUUGAUGACCCCUUCUCUUUCCAUUAUUUGAUCAGAAGACUUGGAAAGCAUGACUCUUUCUGCUUCAUUUUUCUCUUCACCUCAGAAUUAAGUUUAAUGCUCUAUUUGCCAUC